AAAAAAUAUUUACUCAGUUUCUCUAAUUUUUUCCCCCUUCCAAUUUAAAAAAUGUAGAGCAAAUAGCAAUUUUGCUAAGUCCAAUAUCGGCCUGACUUCACAGACACUUUUCCCGAGCACAAAGACACACCGACAAAUCCACCGCCAGCCUGACAGACGCACGCCUCCGAGAUCCGAUGCGCCUGCAACAGUCCCAUCGCACGUGCCACAUCCAUCCACGCGUGCCAACUUCUUGUAUUCACGUGCUACACCCUCUGCCUUCACUAUUUUCUCAUUCCCCAAUCUGUUGAGCAAAAAAUCAUACCAAGAGGAAGCCGAACUUCAGUUUCCCAAAUUCUCAUUUCGCAUUUCUCGAUUUCAAGCGAAAAUCGCUUCAUUUGAUUUGAUUUUGGAUCGAGGAGUUACUGGAAGGUGUGAAUUUUGGGAGAUUGUUGAAGUUGUCUGUAGGAGGCUGCGUCGUCGGCAAUGGAGGCGAUACUGGCUAGAGCCUUGGAGUACACGCUCAAGUACUGGCUCAAAUCCUUCUCCAGAGAUCAGUUAAAGCUUCAAGGACGUGUCGUACAACUAUCCAAUUUAGAUAUAAAUGGAGAUGCCCUGCAUGCGAGCAUGGGAUUGCCACCGGCGCUGAAUGUAACAAAGGCAAAAGUGCGCAAAUUCGAGAUAAUUCUCCCCUAUGUAAGUAACGUGCAAGUAGAGCCAAUUGUUAUACAAAUUGAUAGGCUCGAUUUGGUUCUGGAGGAGAAACAUGAUUUGGAUGCAUGUAGCAGCUCCAACAGCACACAGUCAUCUACUGGCUCCAGCAAGGCUAGUGGCUAUGGAUUUGCUGAUAAGGUUAGGUGCUAUGUUAGGUGCAGUUGCAUUGAGCUUUUGGUAGUUGGAAUUCAAUUACUGUAGUCGGCCUCUUGGAAAUAUGAUUCUUUUUCUAAACCCCAAUGCCUCAACCCUCCAAAACCAAGGCUUUUUACUUGCUAGAAUUAUUUAAAAUUGAAUGAUGUAUAGAUUUUUCAUUUUUCUUAAAUAUAAUGUUUAUUUUAAAGCUUAAACUUUGCUGGAAAAUUCAACUGUAAAGCUGUGUAAUAAGACAGCUACCAGACAAAAUGUUUGUUAUGUCUUAAAAUGUGGAUUGCUGAGAAUAAAUUGACUUUUAUCAGUUAUAUACAUGCAUAUGUGCAUUGCUUUCCCUUUUCUCACAAGUUGUAUGCACUUAGGCAAUUCUCAUUAGAAGAAAACACAUUUGGGGCUUGUUUACUCAACCUAGCAACCCAACACAAUUUAUCUUUACUGAUCUUGUGGUUAAUGAAAUGCAAUGGGAUGGAUAUAUUGGACAUAAAAAUUUGCCUUUGUUGAAUACUAGAUUGCAGAUGGAAUGACAAUUCAGGUUAGCACUGUCAAUCUUCUUCUUGAAACACGUGGGGGUGCUCGACGUGAGGGUGGUGCUGCUUGGGCAUCACCUCUAGCAUCCAUCACCAUACGCAACCUUUUAUUAUGCACCACAAAUGAAAAUUGGCAGGUUGUAAAUCUUAAGGAAGCACGUGACUUCUCCAAUAACAAAGGGAAUAUAUAUGUGUUCAAGAAAUUAGAAUGGGAGUCUUUAUCUAUUGAUCUCCUGCCUCAUCCUGAUAUGUUUGCCGAUGCCAGUUUAGCACGUUCUCAAGGGGGUUCAACUCAAAGAGAUGAUGAUGGUGCGAAGCGAGUUUUCUUUGGUGGAGAACGGUUUUUGGAAGGAAUAUCAGGAGAGGCUCAUAUCACAGUACAGAGGACUGAACAAAACAGUCCCCUUGGGCUGGAGGUUCAACUACAUAUUACAGAAGCUGUCUGUCCUGCAUUAAGUGAACCAGGACUUCGAGCUCUUCUCCGCUUCAUGACUGGAUUAUACGGAUGUCUUAAUAGAGGAGAUGUGGAUCUGAAGGCUCAUCAGCAAUCUACAGAAGCAGCAGGAUGUUCAUUAGUCUCUAUUCUUGUAGAUCACAUUUUUUUCUGCAUUAAGGAUGCUGAGUUCCAGCUUGAGCUCUUGAUGCAGUCACUUUUCUUUUCUCGGGCAACAGUUUCUGAUGGAGAAAUUGCUAAGAACUUGACUAAGGUUAUGAUUGGUGGACUGUUCUUACGGGACACAUUUUCGCGCCCUCCAUGUACUUUGGUGCAACCAUCAAUGGAGCCUGUCACAGAAAAUGAUGUGCAGAUUCCUGCCUUCGCUAAGAAUUUUUGCCCCCCAAUAUAUCCUUUGGGAGACCAGCAGUGGCAGCUAAGUGUAGGUAUUCCUUUGAUAUGCCUUCAUUCACUUCAGGUCAAGCCUUCUCCAGUCCCACCAUCUUUUGCUUCAGAAACAGUUAUUGCUUGUGAGCCUCUUAUGAUUCACCUCCAGGAAGAAUCAUGUUUGCGGAUAUCUUCUUUCUUAGCUGAUGGAAUUGUUGUCAGUCGUGGAGAUGUUUUACCCGAUUUUUCAGUAAAUUCCUUAAUGUUCAUUCUCAAGGCAUUAGAUGUCAUUGUUCCUCUGGACAUGAGUAAAUUAAAUAAUCCAGUUGCCAACAAGAAUUCCAUUGCCCAGAAUUCCUUUACUGGAGCAAGGCUUCAUAUUGAGAAUUUGUUCUUCUCGGAGUCACCUUCCUUAAAACUCAGGCUGCUAAAGCUGGAGAAAGAUCCUGCUUGCUUCUGUUUGUGGCAGGGUCAGCCUAUUGAUGCAAGCCAGAAGAAAUGGACUGUUGGAGCAUCACACCUUGGUUUGUCUCUGGAAACUUCUAGCAGGUCUGAUGGGCAACUGAAUUCUCAUGGGUUGGCUUCAGGCUUGUGGAGAUGCGUUGAACUAAAAGAUGCUUCUAUUGAGGUAGCCAUGGUAACUGCUGACGGAAGUCCAUUAACAAAUGUUCCUCCUCCUGGAGGUGUUGUCAGAGUAGGUGUUGCUUGUCAACAGUAUUUAUCCAACACUUCUGUUGAGCAGUUAUUUUUUGUCCUGGAUCUUUAUGCUUACUUUGGCAGAGUUGGUGAAAAGGUUGCCUCCGUUGGCAAAAAUAGGAGACCAAAGAGAAGUGGGAAUGAAUCUUCAGGUGGUAGGCUAAUGGAUAAGGUUCCUUGUGAUACUGCAGUAAGCCUAGCAGUGAAGCUUCUUCAGGUUAGAUUUCUAGAAUCUUCCACAAUAGAUAUUGAGGGAUUGCCUUUGGUUCAAUUUAUUGGAGAAUAUCUUUUCAUCAAAGUUUCUCAUAGAACCCUUGGUGGUGCCAUGGCUGUGUCAUCCACUUUACACUGGCAAACUGUUGAGGUGGACUGUGUAGAGACAGAUGGAAGCUUGGUGCAUGAAAAUUGCACAAUUUUAACUUCUGUUGAGAAUGGUUGUGUGGUGUCCGCAAAUGGUUAUCCUCAAUUACGAGCCAUCUUUUGGGUGCAUAACCAGAGGAAGCAUCAACAAAAUGGUAUUGCUCAGGCAAUUCCGUUUCUGGAUGUUAACAUAGUCCAUGUCAUUCCAUUCAGUGAACGUGAUAAAGAGUGCCAUAGUUUAAGUGUGUCAGCCUGUAUUUCUGGUAUUCGCCUUGGUGGUGGAAUGAACUAUGCUGAAACCCUGUUGCAUCGAUUUGGAAUACUUGGGCCCGAUGGUGGUCCUGGAGAAGGGCUUUCUAAAGGAUUAAAGAAUUUAUCAACAGGGCCGCUAUCAAAACUUUUCAAAAUAUCGCCUCUCACAGUUGAGUUAAGAGAGGGUAUGAGAUCGUCUCUCAAAAUUUUUAUCUAAAUGGUUUCUUAUUAUCUAUUUACUGUACUACUUCUGUGUAAUCGUUUCAAGGUUUCUACAUCCGCUGCUGUGGUCUUAAGUUUUCAGUUUUUCUACAGAUAAGCAUUCAGAAAAUGGGAAAGAUGGUGGGUUUUUGCACUUGGAAAUGCCAGAUGAUGUGGAUGUGUGUAUAGAAUUGAAAGAUUGGUUAUUUGCACUUGAGGGUGCACAAGAGAUUGCAGAAAGGUGGUGGUUUUCCAACCCUGAAGAUGUGGGCAGAGAAGAGAGGUGCUGGCACACAACUUUCCAAAGUUUGUUUGUAAAAGCAAAAAACAUUCCAAGGCAUGAACUGAAUGGAAAAGGGAAGUCACAUGGAAGACAGAAAUAUCCAGUGGAAUUGGUCACAGUUGGUGUGGAAGGCUUGCAGAUCUUGAAGCCACUGGGACAAAAGGGCAUUUCUGUGUCCGAGAAUGGUGUGAAACAAGUCGAGACAUCUGGAGGGAUAAAUCUUGAAGUUCACAUGGUGAUGUCAGGGGAAAAUAUUGAUGAUGAGAUGCCCACAUGGGUAUUGGAAAACUUGAAAUUCUCUGUUAAGCAACCGAUUGAGGCUGUUGUGACCAAAGAUGAGCUCCAGCACCUUGCUUUGUUGUGCAAGUCUGAAGUUGAUGCAAUGGGUCGGAUAGCUGCCGGGGUCCUCAAGCUACUCAAACUGGAGCAUUCCAUUGGCCAGGCAACCAUAUACCAACUCAGCAACCUUGGAAGUGAGAGCUUUGAGAAGAUUUUCUCCCCUCAAAAACUUAGCAGGGGUAGUAGUCCUUGUAGCUUCGGUUUCUCUUCAAUGUCAAAUCCGAUUGAGACUCUGCAGACAACAUUGGAAUCAACAGUUGGUUCACUUGAGGAGGCAGUUUUGGAUUCACAAGCUAAAUGUUCUGCCCUUAUUACUGAUAUAUCUGCAUCAGAAUCCUCUGUACAGUACCUUGCUGAAAUCAAACAAUUAAGUCAGAAGCUCGAAAGUAUGCAGAAUUUAAUAAAGCAAUUACGGACUCAAAUCUAAAUUGCUUUAGCCAUGCCCCUCCAUCGUGUGCAAUUUUUGGAUCAUAUGGUAUACUCGAUUCUUUUCUUGUACAUACGUAUAGUAUUAUAGAAAUAGGUUGAGUGUUGCAGUGAUGAGGCAGAAAUGAAAGCUGUUCAUUUGUAGUAAAACAGAUUUUGCAUCCCGUAGAUGAUAAUAUCGUUGUGAAAUGUGGUUGGUAAACAUGUUUGCAGUAUUGCCAGAGCAAGCUGGUUUAAAUACUUUGAUUUGCCAAUAUUACUUAUAUUUUUAUUCAAAUAAAAUCUCUAUUCUCUUUUAAAA
rnacentral:misc_RNA from 1 species